ACAUGUGGUUUAAUUCGAUGAUACGCGAGGAACCUUACCCGGGCUUAAAUUGCAGUGGAAUGAUGUGGAAACAUGUCAGUGAGCAAUCACCACUGUGAAGGUGCUGCAUGGUUGUCGUCAGCUCGUGCCGUGAGGUGUCGGCUUAAGUGCCAUAACGAGCGCAACCCUUAUCUUUAGUUACUAACAGGUUAUGCUGAGGACUCUAGAGAGACUGCCGUCGUAAGAUGUGAGGAAGGUGGGGAUGACGUCAAAUCAGCACGGCCCUUACGUCCGGGGCUACACACGUGUUACAAUGG
rnacentral:rRNA from 1 species